rnacentral:rRNA from 1 species
GAUGAACGCUGGCGGCGUGCCUAAUACAUGCAAGUCGAACGGACAGGCGCUGAUCUUGCGGGGUGGACGUGUGGCGAACGGGUGAGUAAAACGCGAGUAAAACCUCCCUGUAAUAGGGAUAAAACUACGAAAAUGCGGAUCAAAUACGAUAGAAUAUCUUGAUGCACAGUGGGCGAUGGAAAGAUACGGUGGUUGGGGAUGGUAUCGAGGGAUCCCAGCUUGAUUGUGAGGUAGGUGCUUAACCAGCUUACGAAGGGUAGCCGACCUGAGAGGGUGAUCGGCCACACUGGAACUGCGACACGGACCAGACUACUACGGGAGGGAGCAGUAGGGAACCUUACGCAAUGGGAGAAAGGCUGACGGAGUCACGCCGCGUGUGUGAUGAAGGUCUUCGGAUCGUAAAAAUCUGUUAUUAGGGAAGAACAUAUGUGUAAGUAACUGUGCACAUCUUGACGGUACCUAAUCAGAAAGCAACGGCUAACUACGUG